rnacentral:lncRNA from 1 species
CAAAUUUUCAGGAGAAAGGGGGAUUUGCUGGCCAGACUCCCAAUAAAAACAGGAUUUGAUGGCCAAAUUCACAAUGAAAAGUGUAUUUGCUGGCCAAAUUCCCAGGACAAAGGGGAUAUGAUGCCCAAACUCCCAAUAAAAAGGGGAUUUGGUGCCCACACUCCCAAUGAAAGGGGAUUUGCUGUCCACACUCCCAAUGAAGAGGGAAUUUGGUGCCCACACUCCCAAUAAAAAGAGGAUUUGGUGCCCACACUCCCAAUGCAGAGGGGAUUUGGUGCCCACACUCCCAAUGAAAGGGGAUUUGGUGCCCACAUUCCCAAUAAAAAGGGGAUUUGGUGCCCAAACUCCCAAUGAAAGGGGAUUUGGUGGCCACACUCCCAAUGAAAGGGGAUUUGGUGGCCACACUCCCGAUGCAGAGGGAAUCUGGUGCCCGCACUCCCAAUGAAAGGGGAUUUGGUGCCCACAUUCCCAAUAAAAAGGGGAUUUGGUGCCCACACUCCCAAUGAAAGGGGANNNNNNNNNNUGAAAGGGGAUUUGGUGCCCACAUUCCCAAUGAAAGGGGAUUUGGUGGCCACAUUCCCAAUAAAAAGGGGAUCUGGUGGCCGGGAGGAGCCGCCCUCCCCACUCACUCUCGUAGAACUCGAAGCACUUGGCCGCGGGGCUGCUGCUCCAGGUGUAUUCCGAGGGUUUCCUGCCGCGGUUGUCGCGGGCGUAGACGUUGGCGCCGAACUCGACCAGCAGCUGCACCAGGUCGGCGUUGCGCGCCUUGGCCGCGUGGUGCAGCGCCGUCUCGUGCAGCUUGGCUGCGUUCACGUUGGCUCCUGGCGCCGCAGGCCGCCCGCGGGGGAAACCCACAGCGGGAAACGGGAACGGGAUCAGGAACGGGAGCGGGAACGGGAGCAGGAACGGGGUCAGGAACGGGAGCAGGAACGGGAGCAGGAACGGGAACGGGGUCAGGAACGGGAGCAGGAAUGGGAUCAGGAACGGUGUCAGGAAUGGGCCAGGAAUGGGGUCAGGAACGGGGUCAGGAACGGGAGCAGGAACGGGGUCAGGAACGGGAGCAGGAACGGGAGCAGGAACGGGAACGGGGUCAGGAACGGGAUCAGGAACGGGAGCAGGAACGGGAGCAGGAACGGGAACGGGGUCAGGAACGGGAGCAGGAACGGGAGCGGGAACGGGAGCGGGAACGGGAGCAGGAACGGGAACGGGGUCAGGAACGGGAGCAGGAAUGGGAUCAGGAACGGGGUCAGGAACGGGAGCAGGAACGGGGUCAGGAACGGGAUCAGGAACGGGAGCAGGAACGGGAGCAGGAACGGGAGCAGGAACGGGGUCAGGAACGGGAGCAGGAACGGGACCAGGAACGGGAGCAGGAACGGGGUCAGGAACGGGGUCAGGAACGGGAGCAGGAACGGGAGCAGGAAUGGGAUCAGGAAUGGGAUCAGGAACGGGACCAGGAACGGGGUCAGGAAUGGGAUCAGGAACGGGGUCAGGAACGGGAUCAGGAACAGGAUCAGGAAUGGGCUCAGGAAUGGGAUCAGGAACGGGAUCAGGAACGGGAUCAGGAACAGGAUCAGGAACAGGAUUAGGAAUGAGAUCAGGAACGAGAUCAGGAAUGGGAUCAGGAAUGGGAUCAGGAACGAGAUGAGGAAUAGGAUCAGAAACGGGAUAAGGAACGGGAUCAGGAAUGGGAUCAGGAACGAGAUGAGGAACGGGAUCAGGUAUGGGAUCAGGAACGGGAUCAGGAACGGGAUCAGGAACGGGAUCAGGACCAGAACCGGGAUCAGGAACGGGCUCGGGCACGGGAGCCAGGGCUCUGUCCCGCAGGAUUCCGGGCGGGAAUGCCGUACCUGCCUGGAGCAGCAGCUUGGCACAGUCCAGGUGCUCCCGGGCACAGGCCACGUGCAGGGGGGUCCCGAAGUGGCAGUCGUGGGCCUCCAGGUUGGCACCCACCUCGAUCAGCAGCUGCACGCACUCCGGGCUGCCUGCGACACGAGACCGGGAAAAUCCCGCUGGAAACCGGGCAAUCCCACGGAAAUCCAGGAAUUCCCGCUGGAAACCGGGCAAUCCCAACCCACAGGGGUGCAAUUCCCGCUGGAAACUGGAAACUGGGGAAUCCCAACCCACNNNNNNNNNNCCUGGAAUAACCCUGGAAUUGCUCUAGAAUGGCCCUGGAAUUUGCCUGGAAUUGCCCUGGAAUAACCCUGGAAUUGCUCUAGAAUGGCCCUGGAAUUUCCCUGGAAUAACCGUGGAAUGACCCUGGAAUAACCCUGGAAUUACUCUAGAAUGGCCCUGGAAUUUCCCUGGAAUAACCGUGGAAUGACCCUGGAAUAACCCUGGAAUUUCCCUGGAAUUGCCCUGGAAUGACCCUGGAGUAACCCUAGAAUGACUCUGGAAUAACCCUGGAAUUGCUCUAGAAUGGCCCUGGAAUAGCUCUGGAAUAACCCUGGAAUGACCCUGGAAUAACCCUGGAAUUGCUCUAGAAUGUCCCCAGAAUGUCCCCGGAAUUUCCCUGGAAUUUCCCUGGAGUGACCCCAUAAUUCCCCCGUAAUCCCCCCGGGCUUUCCCGUGAUCCCGGAGCCGCCGGGGCUCACCGCUCAUGCAGGCCUCGUGCAGGGGCGAGGCGCUGUACAGGGCGGGGUUGGCGCUGGCGCCGCGGGCCAGCAGUGCCCGCGCGCACUCGGCGCUGCCCGCGGCGCAGGCGUCGCACAGCGGCGUGCUGCCGUCGAUGUUCCGCGCGUCCACCUGCGGGAGAAGACACCGCAAAGAGGGUCGGGAGUAGGGAAAUGUGGGUUAAAACGGGGCAAAACACGGGACAGAGGGUGAAAACGGGGCAAAAACAUGGAAAAUCGGGUCGGGAGUAGGGAAAUGUGGGUCAAAACGGGGUAAAAACACGGGAAAUCGGGAGAAAAGUAGGGGAAAGCGGGUUAAAACGGGGCAAAAACACGGGAAAUCGGGUCAGGAGUAGGGAAAAUUGGGUUAAAACGGGGUAAAAACACGGGAAAUCGGGUUAGGAGUAGGGAAAAGUGGGUUAAAAGUAGGGAAAAGUGGGUUAAAACAGGGCAAAAACAUGGAAAAUCGGGUUAGAAGUAGGGAAAAGCAGGUUAAAACAGGGUAAAAGCACGGAAAAUUGGGUUAGAAGUAGGGAAAAGUAGGGAAAAGCAGGUUAAAACAGGGUAACAGCACAGAAAAUUAGGUUAAA